UAAAAGGGUGCUUGCUCUACGUUUAUAUGGCACAUCUGAUCGGUUUCUAAUGGAAGUUCGGUUAGGUGAAGUAUGGUUAUCAAGACAUACUUAGCACAUAAUUUUUUUUCUUGAAGACAGUUGACUGCUGCUUGCAUGCGUCGGCGUCUUC